CAGUCGCCGCGGGAAUACGUAGGUGGCAAGCGUUGUCCGGAAUUAUUGGGCGUAAAGGGCUGGCAGGCGGUUUCUUAAGUCUGAUGUGAAAGCCCCCGGCUCAACCGGGGAGGGUCAUUGGAAACUGGGAAACUUGAGUGCAGAAGAGGAGAGUGGAAUUCCACGUGUAGCGGUGAAAUGCGUAGAGAUGUGGAGGAACACCAGUGGCGAAGGCGACUCUCUGGUCUGUAACUGACGCUGAGGAGCGAAAGCGUGGGGAGCGAACAGGAUUAGAUACCCCUGUAGUCCCUGUCUCUUAUAC
rnacentral:rRNA from 1 species